AUACUAGUGUNGGGAAGCAUGCUUCUCGGUGCCGUCGCAAACGCAGUAAGUAUUCCACCUGGGGAGUACGUUCGCAAGAAUGAACUUCAAAGGAAUUGACGGGGACCCGCACAAGCGGUGGAGCAUGUGGUUUAAUUCGAAGCAACGCGAAGAACCUUACCAAGUCUUGACAUCCUUCUGACCGGUACUUAACCGUACCUUCUCUUCGGAGCAGGAGUGACAGGUGGUGCAUGGUUGUCGUCAGCUCGUGUCGUGAGAUGUUGGGUUAAGUCCCGCAACGAGCGCAACCCUUAUCUUUAGUAGCCAGCGGUUCGGCCGGGCACUCUAGAGAGACUGCCAGGGAUAACCUGGAGGAAGGCGGGGAUGACGUCAAAUCAUCAUGCCCCUUAUGACUUGGGCUACACACGUGCUACAAUGGCGUAAACAAAGGGAAGCAAAGCUGUGAAGCCGAGCAAAUCUCAAAAAUAACGUCUCAGUUCGGACUGUAGUCUGCAACCCGACUACACGAAGCUGGAAUCGCUAGUAAUCGCAGAUCAGAAUGCUGCGGUGAAUACGUUCCCGGGUCUUGUACACACCGCCCGUCACACCAUGGGAGUUGGGAAUGCCCGAAGCCAGUGACCUAACCGUAAGGAAGGAGCUGUCGAAGGCAGGCUCGAUAACUGGGGUGAAGUCGUAACAAGGUAGCCGUAUCGGAAGGUGCGGCUG
rnacentral:rRNA from 1 species